rnacentral:rRNA from 1 species
UACGUAGGGGGCAAGCGUUGUCCGGAAUUAUUGGGCGUAAAGCGCGUGUAGGCGGUCCACUAAGUCGGCUGUGAAAGUCCAGGGCUCAACCCUGGGAUGCCGGUCGAUACUGGUGGACUAGAGUCCGGAAGAGGCGAGUGGAAUUCCGAGUGUAGAGGUGAAAUUCGUAGAUAUUCGGAAGAACACCAGUGGCGAAGGCGGCUCACUGGACCGGCAUUGACGCUGAGGUGCGAAAGCGUGGGGAGCAAACAGG